CUGCUUACUUGUACAGCAGGUAUGCUAAAAUUGGCACUGUACAGAGAAGGUCAGCAUUGGCUCAACGAAAAGGAUGCCAUGUGAAUUUCAUAAGAGCCAUAGUUUUAU
rnacentral:snRNA from 1 species